rnacentral:rRNA from 1 species
CUACGGGGCUCCAGUAAGGAAUAUUGCGCAAUGGAGGCAACUCUGACGCAGCCAUGCCGCGUGCAGGAAGAAGGCCUUAUGGGUCGUAAACUGCUUUUAUUUAGGAAUAAACCCCCGAACGUGUUCGGGGCUGAAGGUACUAAACGAAUAAGCACCGGCUAACUCCGUGCCAGCAGCCGCGGUAAUACGGAGGGUGCAAGCGUUAUCCGGAUUUAUUGGGUUUAAAGGGUGCGCAGGCGGGCUAUUAAGUCAGUGGUGAAAUCCCGGGGCUCAACUCCGGAACUGCCAUUGAUACUGAUAGUCUUGAGUUUGGUUGAAGUGGGCGGAAUGUAGCAUGUAGCGGUGAUAUGCAUAGAUAUGCUACAGAACACCAAUCGCGAAGGCAGCUCACUAAGCCAAAACUGACGCUCAUGCACGAAAGCGUGGGGAUCAAACAGGAUUAGAUACCCGUGUAGUC